rnacentral:hammerhead_ribozyme from 1 species
AUCCAUCUGAUGAGUCCCUAGUAAAACGAAACGCGCGUCCUGGAU